GAUGAACGCUGGCGGCGUGCUUAACACAUGCAAGUCGAGCGAGAAGUUUUGAAAAGAUUCUUCGGAUGAAAUUUGAAAUGGAAAGCGGCGGACGGGUGAGUAACGCGUAGGCAACCUGCCCCAUACAAAGGGAUAGCAUUUGGAAACGAAUAUUAAUACCUUAUGAAACUUAACUAGUGCAUGCUAGGUAGGUCAAAGAUUUAUCGGUAUGGGAUGGGCCUGCGUCUGAUUAGCUAGUUGGUGAGGUAACGGCUCACCAAGGCGACGAUCAGUAGCCGACCUGAGAGGGUGAACGGCCACAUUGGAACUGAGACACGGUCCAAACUCCUACGGGAGGCAGCAGUGGGGAAUAUUGCACAAUGGGGGAAACCCUGAUGCAGCAACGCCGCGUGAACGAUGAAGGCCUUUGGGUCGUAAAGUUCUGUUCUAGGUGAUGAAAACUGACAGUAACCUAGGAGAAAGCCCGGCU
rnacentral:rRNA from 1 species